rnacentral:rRNA from 1 species
UACGUAGGUGGCAAGCGUUGUCCGGAUUUACUGGGCGUAAAGAGCGCGCAGGCGGUCGUUCAAGUCGCGUGUGAAAGCCCCCGGCUCAACUGGGGAGGGUCACGCGAUACUGAUCGACUCGAAGGCAGGAGAGGGUAGUGGAAUUCCCGGUGUAGUGGUGAAAUGCGCAGAUAUCAGGAGGAACACCGAUGGCGAAGGCAGCUUGCUGGGACGGUACUGACGCUGAGACGCGAAAGCGUGGGGAGCAACAGG